rnacentral:rRNA from 1 species
UACGAACCGUGCGAGCGUUAUUCGGAAUCACUGGGCUUAAAGCGCGUGUAGGCGGAUGGGUACGUCGGUCGUUGAAAGCCCCCGGCUCAACCGGGGAAUGGGCGCCGAAACGACCCGUCUGGAGGGACGUAGGGGGACCUGGAACUUCCGGUGGAGCGGUGAAAUGCGUUGAGAUCGGAAGGAACGCCCGUGGCGAAAGCGAGGUCCUGGACGUCUACUGACGCUGAGACGCGAAAGCUAGGGGAGCGAACGGG